rnacentral:rRNA from 1 species
UCCGGAGGGGACUAGCGUUGUUCGGAAUUACUGGGCGUAAAGCGCACGUAGGCGGAUUUGUAAGUCAGGGGUGAAAUCCCGGGGCUCAACCCCGGAACUGCCUUUGAUACUGGUAGUCUCGAGUCCGGAAGAGGUGAGUGGAAUUCCGAGUGUAGAGGUGAAAUUCGUAGAUAUUCGGAGGAACACCAGUGGCGAAGGCGACUUACUGGACAACUGUUGACGCUGAGGUGCGAAAGCGUGGGGAGCAAACAGG